UUUAGACACAGUCGCGAGUUUCCGUAUCCAACAUUUGACUAUACGUCUUAUUUGAUUAUUUUUUUCUAUGAUUAAUAUUUUAUUGUUGUUAGAUCAUAAAAUAUUAAUAAUAUUUUAUGUGUGUCUUAUUUUAAAAGAACUUUUUAUAAUUUUUUUAAAUAAGGCAGACGGUCAGACGUUAGAUAUGAAAACCCACAACUACAUUUAAA
rfam:Oryza meridionalis cultivar OR44 (W2112) chromosome 10, whole genome shotgun sequence.